rnacentral:rRNA from 1 species
GACGAACGCUGGCGGCGUGCUUAACACAUGCAAGUCGAACGGAAAGGCCCUGCUUUUGUGGGGUGCUCGAGUGGCGAACGGGUGAGUAACACGUGAGUAACCUGCCCUUGACUUUGGGAUAACUUCAGGAAACUGGGGCUAAUACCGGAUAGGAGCUCCUGCUGCAUGGUGGGGGUUGGAAAGUUUCGGCGGUUGGGGAUGGACUCGCGGCUUAUCAGCUUGUUGGUGGGGUAGUGGCUUACCAAGGCUUUGACGGGUAGCCGGCCUGAGAGGGUGACCGGCCACAUUGGGACUGAGGUACGGCCCAGACGCCUACGGGAGGCAGCAGUGGGGAAUAUUGCACAAUGGCGGAAGCCUGAUGCAGCAACGCCGCGUGCGGGAUGACGGCCUUCGGGUUGUAAACCGCUUUCGCCUGUGACGAAGCGUGAGUGACGGUAAUGGGUAAAGAAGCACCGGCUAACUACGUG